rnacentral:rRNA from 1 species
UACGAAGGGGGCUAGCGUUGCUCGGAAUCACUGGGCGUAAAGGGUGCGUAGGCGGGUCUUUAAGUCAGGGGUGAAAUCCUGGAGCUCAACUCCAGAACUGCCCUUGAUACUGGCGGUCUCGAGUCCGGGAGAGGUGAGUGGAACUGCGAGUGUAGAGGUGAAAUUCGUAGAUAUUCGCAAGAACACCAGUGGCGAAGGCGGCUCUCUGGGACGGUACUGACGCUGAGACGCGAAAGCGUGGGGAGCGAACAGG